rnacentral:lncRNA from 1 species
GCCGAUUUUCUAUGAUCCAUUUAAUUAGAAUAUAAUGGUUGCGCAACAUUGAUAGGCUUCUGUAGAUGAAAUUUGCUGGGGAAAAGAGUACAUGUAUACUUCGACUGUAACAAGUAAAUUUUGCACUUUUUUCCUUAUGUUAUGUUUUAAGUUAUAAUGUGAAAUGGUUCUACUUCAUAUUUUAUUUUACACUGGGUGGA